rnacentral:rRNA from 1 species
CCUACGGGAGGCUGCAGUGGGGGAUAUUGGACAAUGGGGGGAACCCUGAUCCAGCGACGCCGCGUGAGUGAAGAAGUAUCUCGGUAUGUAAAGCUCUAUCAGCAGGGAAGAAGAAAUGACGGUACCUGAGUAAGAAGCCCCGGCUAACUACGUGCCAGCAGCCGCGGUAAUACGUAGGGGGCAAGCGUUAUCCGGAAUUACUGGGUGUAAAGGGAGCGUAGACGGUGAUGUAAGUCUGGAGUGAAAGGCGGGGGCCCAACCCCCGGACUGCUCUGGAAACUAUGUGACUGGAGUGCAGGAGAGGUGAGCGGAAUUCCUAGUGUAGCGGUGAAAUGCGUAGAUAUUAGGAGGAACACCGGUGGCGAAGGCGGCCUGCUGGACUGUGACUGACGUUGAGGCCCGAAGGCGUGGGGAGCAAACAGGAUUAGAUACCCGUGUAGUC